rnacentral:tRNA from 1 species
ACCUGGCUGGCUCAGUAGAGCAUGUGACUCUUGAUCACAAGGUUGUGAGUUUGAGUCCCAAGUUGGGCA